CAGUCGCCGCGGUAAUACGUAGGUGGCAAGUGUUGUCCGGAAUUAUUGGGCGUAAAGGGCUCGCAGGCGGUUUCUUAAGUCUGAUGUGAAAGCCCCCGGCUCAACCGGGGAGGGUCAUUGGAAACUGGGAAACUUGAGUGCAGAAGAGGAGAGUGGAAUUCCACGUGUAGCGGUGAAAUGCGUAGAGAUGUGGAGGAACACCAGUGGCGAAGGCGACUCUCUGGUCUGUAACUGACGCUGAGGAGCGAAAGCGUGGGGAGCGAACAGGAUUAGAUACCCCUGUAGUCCCUGUCUCUUAUAC
rnacentral:rRNA from 1 species